rnacentral:rRNA from 1 species
UACGGAGGAUGCGAGCGUUAUCCGGAUUUAUUGGGUUUAAAGGGUGCGUAGGCGGCGAGUUAAGUCAGCGGUAAAAUUUCGGGGCUCAACCCCGACAAGCCGUUGAAACUGGCUUGCUAGAGUGGGCGAGAAGUAUGCGGAAUGCGUGGUGUAGCGGUGAAAUGCAUAGAUAUCACGCAGAACUCCGAUUGCGAAGGCAGCAUACCGGCGCCCAACUGACGCUCAGGCGCGAAAGCGUGGGUAUCGAACAGG